CAGCCGCCGCGGUAAUACGAAGGAUGCAAGCGUUACUCGGAAUUACUGGGCGUAAAGCGUGCGUAGGCGGUUUGUUAAGUCUGUUGUGAAAUCCCCGGGCUCAACCUGGGAAUGGCAAUGGAUACUGGCAAGCUAGAGUGUGUCAGAGGAUGGUGGAAUUCCCGGUGUAGCGGUGAAAUGCGUAGAGAUCGGGAGGAACAUCAGUGGCGAAGGCGGCCAUCUGGGACAACACUGACGCUGAGGCACGAAAGCGUGGGGAGCAAACAGGAUUAGAUACCCCCGUAGUCCCUGUCUCUUAUAC
rnacentral:rRNA from 1 species